rnacentral:lncRNA from 1 species
AUGCGCGUCCCGAUUCCUGUGCUCGACGCUCAGCCCUUCCGGGUGUCCGUGAGCUACAGACGCAUAGCGGCACAGGGGGCAGGGCUCUUCUGCUGCUGUGGUCUCUGGACUCUGGUGUUGGACAGGGAGACGAAAGGAAACUACUGUAGACGUGUAGGCGAGGUAGCUGACAGGAACGUAAACACUGGCUGGCACGCUGCACCCGGAGCAGCAGCAGAAACGGCGAAGAAAAGAGAUCAAGAGAGCCUCAGCCACCUGACCUGCACACACGAAAAAUGGGUUCGAUCGACGUCGACGACGUACGGCAGUGGGCUUACUGGCUUAGCAUCGGUGGCCGACGAUCGUGUCAGCUCCCCUCCCCCUCCGCGUCGCACCCGUCCCAAGGGCGACACGGACGGCGACAACAACCUGGCUGCUGCCCCUCCCCACCCUAACCCCCUUCGCCUCGCCGCCGCACGAGUGGCUCGUCGGCAAAGCCGGACGGCCGCAAGGACGGCGGCGGGGCGCUCUCCCCACGAGGAAGCCCAGAGGCGGGACACCGGAGGGCCGCUCGGCGGCGGCAAGACGGCGGCCAACGCGGCGGCUCCGGGCACGACGGAGACGGAUCCGCACCCCCUAGCGGCGGAUCUAGCCUCCCCGUCGGCGGUCGAGCUUGCAGCGACGGCGACCGGAGGAGGCAAGGGGCGGCGUCACGGCUCGACGAGGAAGGCGACAGCGGGGGCGGCGGCGUGCCCCGGCGUGGGCGGCCGUGGACCCGUCCCCAAGCGGCUAGAUCCGGCCUCCCUGGCUCAGAUCUGGCCAGGGUGCUGUCGGUCCAGCGGCAACGGGUGCGGAGUGGAGGCCGGCGAUAUGGCCGGCGUGGCGGUGGCAGUGGCAGACAGCGACAGCGACUGGGCAGCGCCCGUGGUGGUGGCGGCCAUCGACGACAGUGGCCGCAGCUGUGUCGAGGUGACGGCGGCGGCGGCUGUGGAGGCAAUGGCUGCUGCGGCUGGCGAGGCGGCGCCCGUCGUCGUGGCUGACGGCAACGAUGACAGUGGCCGCAUCUGCGGCAAAGGCGGCUACCGCUCGCUUCGGUGGCAGAUGAGGAGGCAGGGAAGGCGUCGUGCAGACGAUCGCCGGCGGGAGUAAGUGGAGGCGC